rnacentral:sRNA from 1 species
UAGAGGCGGCGGAGACAGGAAUGGAGCCAAGGCGGCAGAGGCAGGAGGGAAACA